CCGCAGCCUCAGCGCCAAGGGCCAUGCCUUGGGGUCGGGAUGGUUUGUCGUGCCGUGCCAUGCUUCGCAGUGGGAUCACCGAUCGUCGGGCGUAAGCGGAGUACCAGAGUAAGCUCAUAGGAGUUGAAGGGCAACGCCACGCCGUGGACCGGAUCAAUCAUCGUGGCACUCACCGGUAAAACCCCAAAACUUAGUUCGCUUUGCUUUCCACAUUGAUUAUCUGAGGUUUAUACUGGAUGUGGAGCGCUAGGGCGGCGUCGGGCCAUGCACAUCAAAGGCGCCGCCGCGGGAAUAGGUUCUGCCCUAGUCGCUGACAUCGUGUUUUGGGGAAUCGUCGUGAGCUGUCAAUCUCUUGAUCAACACCUAGUAUUAGAUUUCGUAUAAUGGUAUGAUCAAGGGAUCUACGCCAUUGACCGAGAAACGUGAGGUGUUGGUCAGGCAUCGGGUCUCAUAAAACUGGAUCCGCCCGAUAUAGAUCUAAGGGCCUAGAUUAGAUGAGGUUGUGGAGCGUAGCGAGCCAUUGAUCAUUGUCACACCCAGUUUUAAAAGGCAAACCGAAUGCGAACCAUGUACGUGCCAGGAUCAGAAACUCACGUACACAGUGAUUACAUAGUUGGACAUCAUCACACAUUGCUCAAAAUAUUAGAGGGGAUAGUACUUUAUUACAUCAAGAUGUCCAAGACAUCCACAGAGUCAUUAACUUAAGUCAUAGCCAUAAUCAAAGUGCGGAUAUGAAACAUAGAAUGAUAAGGCCUUCAUAGGCAGCUGACUCGAGGUUUGCCACUAAACAUGACUAGAAGAGAAAGGCCACCAGCCCAACACCUCAGGAGGAGGAGUUGGAUCACGAGAUCAGGGAUCUAGAAGCCAUUCAUCAGCAAGUACAAAGGAAGAAAGAAAAGAUGUUUCAACUAGCUGACCUUCAGAGGAAGAUCGACGAAGCAGCUGAGGAAAUGCAUCAUCUCACUCAGGAUGACUGUCGGUACCCUGAAACUAGGGUACCCCUUACUACCGUAUGAAGACGCAGUACCCACGUGGCUAUCUUUAGUCGCGUGGUAAAGGAGCUGUACGUGGGACCAGGCCAUGACUCGCCCCAGCCUCGGGCGACUACUUUGGGCCAGCAACAGCACCUGACCCCACCACGUGGGCGGCUCCGGGGCCGCCACGUGUCCAGAGAAAGUGAUAUACUCCAAGGCAUCAACAGUGAGUCCGGACCCCCAUGGGAAAGUGUCGGACCCCUGGAUAUACAGUCGGACCUCCAAGUUGGUCUAGGACCCCCACGUGUACAGACCGGACCCCUAGAAUGGGAUCCGAACCCCCUCCGUAUGGGGUCCGGGCCGCCCACAGUAGGGUCCCAAGGUUCCAGGAUAGAACACACAUGGGCCUUAAUUAGGGCCCAGGCGGGGGUCCGGAGCUGACAUGUGUCCAAACCUGGUCUGGUGUGAUCCAGACCUAUCCGUAUACACUCCCGCUCCCCGCUCAGGCAGAGACCCGAUGCUGCCACAUGGCAUACUACGCGUGGCAUAAGCCAACGGACGGAACCUGACAUGACGCCUCUGGACUACGCGCGCCCUCGUAUUCAUAAGACAUGCGCCUGUCCAUCCCACUGACAGGCGGCGUGCUCAGUCCACGAUACAUGGGUCGUGCAGUUACCCACACGUUACCGUAUCGAGGGCAAUGACUCACCAUUACUCGUACGGUAACUGCCCAUCAAUGCGGCAUGGAUUACAGACAUCAUGACUCCCGCUGAUUACUCAUGUGUUACUCUGUCCGCAUUAGUUAUUCACAUAAUGUAUUUCUUCCAUUAUGCUCCAGGCCCACAUGUCGGGGCUCAGCAUCUUUGUAUGCGCCUCCCUUAAACUAUAAAAGGGAAGGCACACAGUGUUACAGGGGACAGACUCAAUCACACGGUCAAUUACACUCUCAAUACUACUUACACACAGUGGAGGUAGGGUAUUACACUCCGGCGGCCUGAACCACUAUAAUCCCUUGUGUCCUCGUGUGUUCAUCCCAAAUCAUCCAGACAGGCAAACCGCUUAGGCCCCCUUCUCAUCUUAGGAUUAGGGUGGGUGCAUUCGGCCACCCGGCCGGUGGAUUUCCCCACCGACAUUUGGUGCGCCAGGUAGGGGUCGAACCUAGAGCAUCUUUGUAAGUUCUACCCAUAAAAGCAAAACUGGGAUGGUUGAGUUUUCUUCCUUUGUAACUAGGUUGCGCAUAUGUGUAUGUCAAUCCCGUGAGGUCCGCCCUCGUAAGCCCGGUCUGUUGGUCUACACCCAUGUAUAUCAAGUUAUAAGGAAAUGAUUUACCUCCCAGAUGUGCUUUUGUGAUGGUUUCAUUCUACUUCAGUUUACAAGCAUUAUUUUUUAUCAAACCCGCCC
rnacentral:lncRNA from 1 species